AGAGCCGCGAAAGUGGCGUGAGCGGGACAGGCAGGGCUUUGUUUGCCCCGCCAAGCUGGGGUAGCAAAAUGAAGUGCUUCAGAUGCAAAGGUUUCUGACUUAUGAAAGCAAAGAUGCGAAACCUUUGCGGAUUUGCUCUGAAGUAAGCCUCCAGGUGUUUUAACUCAAUUGACGUGCAGGGAAGAACCAUGUUAUAUAACUGCUCUGAACUGCCCAGAGUUUGUGAAGUGCCCAGGAUACAAAUACUGCAAAACUCAAUAAAAUACAAUAAAUAUUGUUUUCUGGUAGCAUCACAGAGUUGGAAGAGGCCAUCAAGUCCAAUUGCCUAUUAAAACCCAGAAUAAACCAUAUGAAUAAAAUACUAGCCAAAGCCAUUAAUUAAAUCUCACUAAUUUUAUAAUCUCAUAAAAUUAAUGGAUCUAUUA